GCCUUUGUGGUGUAGUGGUCAGCACACUCGGCACGUAUUCGAGAAGACCGUGGUUCGAGUCCCGGUGAGGGCA
rnacentral:tRNA from 1 species